GACGAACGCUGGCGGCGUGCUUAACACAUGCAAGUCGAACGGUGAAGCUCCAGCUUGCUGGAGUGGAUCAGUGGCGAACGGGUGAGUAACACGUGAGCAACCUGCCCCUGACUCUGGAAUAAGCGCUGGAAACGGCGUCUAAUACUGGAUACGAGAAGGGUCCGCAUGGGCACUUUCUGGAAAGUUUUUCGGUUGGGGAUGGGCUCGCGGCCUAUCAGCUUGUUGGUGAGGUAAUGGCUCACCAAGGCGACGACGGGUAGCCGGCCUGAGAGGGCGACCGGCCACACUGGGACUGAGACACCGCCCAGACUCCUACGGGAGGCAGCAGUGGGGAAUAUUGCACAAUGGGCGAAAGCCUGAUGCAGCGACGCCGCGUGAGGGAUGACGGCCUUCGGGUUGUAAACCUCUUUCAGCAGGGAAGAAGCGAAAGUGACGGUACCUGCAGAAGAAGCACCGGCUAACUACGUG
rnacentral:rRNA from 1 species